rnacentral:lncRNA from 1 species
GGCCAGCCUACUCAGACUCCAGUACACAUUUUGUUGGGUUUUGUUUGUUUGUUUAUUUGGUUUGGUUUCCCCACUGCUCUUCCAGGAUUCUCUCCUUUUUGGGGUCCAUGUUCCAUCCUGAGCAGCUUUUGGAGUACUUUCUCUUAUCACCUCAAAGACCUGACUUCUCCCUUCCCUGAAGUAGUUCUGUCACCACUACUCAUAAGUUCCCCUACCCUUGAAGUACCUUUGAAGUACUACAAACAGCAUGGGAUAAGGAAUAUUACUUGUCUGGCGGACAAGAAUGAAGAUACUCCAUCAAAGACCUACAACUUCUUCACAGCAGAUGGAGAGAGAUGGAGUGGUGAAGAAGAUGCAGCAAGCAUUUGGUAUCCUUAAUACAAGACAUGGAGUAAGGUAGAGAACAUACAGGAGGCUGGACAAUGGACUUCCCAGUGAAGACCUCAUAGUUCAGCAACUACUGAUAGAGUCACUGUGAUGCUUCUGAGUCACCAGAGCACAGAACACUGAGGACCUCCACAACCUUCCUGUCCCCAACCAGAACCCCUUCAGGGGACAACACAGACCCUUACAAGCUCAAGUGAGAGUUUAUUUACUCUCAUGGUAAUCCACUAUUCGUCUAAUAAAUACAAAUACAG